GUCCUGUGUGAAUGCCAGGCUCGCUUGGUAUUUUUCUGUCUGUCAACACUUUGAUAAAUUUAGAAGAAAUGGACUUAUGUUGGCACAUCUGCGAACUAGCGAAAAGAUCAAGAUUGUCACUGUGAUGGUAUCUUCACUCUACCACGUUGGAACAAAAUAGCAGCAUCGUAUUAACCAGAAGCUGCAUUUACCUGGACCAUACAUCAGCCCGAGCCUGUCUCCAGUGAAGAGUUGUGUCGUGCUGGAGGGACCAUUCAUCACACCUGCCCAGCUUCUGGAGGCUCUCCUGGGCUUUGGUGUCUUAGGUCAGAGCUGUCACAAACAUCCCACAUUCACCUUGUCCCUGUGAGGGGAGGGAGCUCCAAGUACUCUCUGGCCUUGAGAAAUGGCCCCUGAUAUUCCAUUGCUUCAGCUAUGACAUCUCUGUAGCAUCACAAUCUAUGCAACUUGGAUAGAGAGAGGCUAUGGGUCACACCAUCAAAUCUGAUUGAAAUUCAUCUUCAAUCAAUCAUGUUGAUGUUGUAUCUGGAGCUGACCUGGAAGCCUGAAUAUUCCUGGUCUUAUUUACUUCUCACACCAACCCAGCUAUCCCCAUUUCAGGGAUUACAAAAUGGAGCACUGACUUGCUCAGGGUUACUUAUGCUGCAGAAAAGGGGCAGAUCCAGGGUCGGAACUUGGGUCUCUUGACUCCAACACCAGUGCUCGUGCCACAAAGCCAGCUGCCUCAGUGAGUGGCUUCCUGGCUGGAUGGCUGGUUUCUCAGGGUACUGACUUGCUUUGAAUGUCCUUUCUCCCUUUGCCUCCCCAGAGGGCGGCUUAUUUCUUUAAGCUCAAGAAGAGGGAAAAGAAAAAAGGAGACGGUGAAAUAAAUUUAUUGCCAUGUUAGAAACAUUGGAUUGAAGAAUUGAUCCCUACAGCUAAGUAAUUUCCCUCUUUCGUGCAAAAUAUAAAUAAAUCUGUAUGGCUUACGCUGAACGAUGCGCCCGGGCCGCCGGCUGGAUUUCACGACAUGAAAUGCCCUUCAGAGUCUUGGGCUUCCUCUCCUUGACCCCACCAACGAGGUGUUCUAAAUGGCCCUUGUGUUGUCCCUGAAGGAGGGAUGUUGGCAGCUCCCUCGUCUUGCCUGCUACAGUUGGGCAGACUUAGGGAUGUCUUGCAGAGUCCUUCCACAGCUCAGCUCGACCCUGGCAGGUGUGGCCCAGAACGGCUGAUUUCCAGAACCGUAAAUAUACCAGCUUAAUUAUUACUGUUAUUCUUUUCUCUAGGCAAAAGGGGAGGAGGUGGAGGGUGGGGGGUUGGUAUCUCAAGUGUGUGAUUAUGUAACACAGAGCACUCCUUUUCCCUAAAGGUUUCAUCUAAUUUCUGUUAAGAGAUGGCCAGUGUGGUGUGUCCAAAUUAAUCACGGGGGGAAGCUUUAGUCAUCCUGCUCUCGUUGUGGUUUAAUUUUAGCAUGUUUCCCUGGGGUAGCCCUCCUUCCCAGCCUCUACCUAGUCUUAGGUAAUUACAAGCCUGGAAAGAAAGAGGGAGUGUUG
rnacentral:lncRNA from 1 species